rnacentral:lncRNA from 1 species
GACGGGGUUUCACCUUGUUAGCCAGGAUGGUCUCGAUCUCCUGACCUCGUGAUCCACCCGCCUCGGCCUCCCAAAGUGCUGGGAUUACAGGCGUGAGCCACCGCGCCCAGCCUGUAAGCCUAAAUUUUUGUGGCUGUGGGAUGGACAAGGACCCAGUCUUUAGCUGAACUAAGGAAAAGUCCUGCAACAAUAAAUUUCAGAAGUUUGAUCUUAACAGAUGAGGAGACUGAAGCCCACAGAGAUCUGAUAGAAAACAGCUGGAUGUGCUAACAGAGCAUCAGACUUGGAAUCAGGUGGAUCCUAGAUUGGCUACUUCCUAACCUCAGAAAAGUGACAUAAUGUCUAUGGUGAAGUCAUCCAUCUGAAACACAAUGCAGUGAAAUCCACUUUAAAUUUUGAUUGUGAAAGCUUUACUGAGGUUUAUUUGAUACACAAUGAUCGUAUCAUUAUGGCUACAAGAAAAGUAAUCAACAAAGUAUACACUUGGAUAAAUGUUGACAUAAGUAUAUACCUGUAAAACUAUCACUACAAUCAAGAUAAUGAACAUGUCCACGUGCUCCCAAAGUUUCUGCACAAUCCUUCCCAUCCUUCCUUGUUCUUGGAACUGCUAAUCAACUAUAGGUUAGUUUGCAUUUUCUGGAAUUUUAUAUUAAUAGAAUCAUAUAGUGUGGACUCUCUUUGGAGUUUAGUUUCCUUCACUUGGCAUAAUUAUUUUGAGAUUCACCCUUGUUGUGGCAUGUAUCAAUAGUUUAUUCUUAUUUAUUGCUGACUAGUAUUUCAUUGUAUGGGCAUACCACAGUAUGUUUAUUCCUUCAGCUCGUGGUGGAUAUUUAUAUUGUUUCCAGCUUUUUGCCUAUUGUUUUUAAAAGCUGCUAUAAAAAUUGUAUUCAUGUCUUUGCAUGAACAUAUGCUUUUAUUUAUCUUGAGUAAAUGCCUAGGAGUAGAGUGGCUGUAUCAUAAGGUAGAUGUAUAUUUAACUGUUUACGAAACUUGCUGACCAUUUUCCAAUGUGGUUGUAUACUUUACAUUCCCACCAGCAAUGUAUGGGAGUCUAUUCCUCCACAUUCACACCAAUGCUCGAUAUGGUCAGUCUUUAAUUUUAGCCAUUCUAAAAUGUUUGUAGAGUAUCUCAUUGUGUUUUUAAUUUUAAUUAAAUUUCUGAAAUAACAAAUUAUAUUGAGCAUCUUUGUAUGUGCCUAUUUGCUAUACAAUAGUUCCCACCUCAUUUGUAGUCUUACUUUCCAGUUUCAGCUACCUUUGGUCAACUGCAAUCCAAAAAUAUUAAAUGGAAAAUUCCGUAAAUAAACAAUUCAUAAGUUUUAAAUUACAAGCCCUUCUGAGUAGCAUGAUGAAAUUUUGUGCCAUUCAAUCCCGGAUGUGACUCAUCCCUUUGUCCAGCAUAUCCACAAUGCCUAUGCUACCCACUUGUUAGUCACUUAGCUGCCCUGGCUAUAAGAUUAACUUUCUUGGUACUGCAGUGCUUGUGUUCUGGAAACCCUCAUUUUACUUAAUAAAGGUUCCAAAGCACAAGAGUAGUGAUGCUGGCAUAUUUUUAUAAUUGUUCUAAUUGCACCAUAAGUUAUUACUGUGAAU